rnacentral:lncRNA from 1 species
GAGGCGUCUCAGCAUCAUUAGGAACUCGCUGCGAUGCCGUGAACCCGGCAGUCUCAUGUGUGCCAGCCGAGUGGCCGUAGACGGUUUGGGAGAGGCGCCUGGUCGCCUCGAGUUCACGCGUGCGCUUGAGUUAUUCUUUUAUGGCGGUGAAAUACAUAGCGUCUGACUAGAGAGGGCAAAAUUGUGUUGCGGCCGGGCUAGGCUGUAGUGCGAGGUGAUGGCGCUUGUGAGUGGCGGCCGUAAUGUGAGACGGGACGUCGGGUACCUGCAUUUUGCCUGGCCGGAUCGACUAGACUUGACAGCGGUGAGCGAAUGUUUGCCUGGUGUCAGCGUGUGUCCUGCGAGUUGGUGCUGUGCUUCCGCAGGCUGUAGGGAGGCGUGGAAGGGUAUUGGGCAAUGUCCAGGUUGCGGUGUUGCGGGGUCGUGUGCGAAUCAAGAGUCGCACCACCGUGAACGCACGAGCAACAGAUGACACCGGACAGUUGCAGUAGCAGUUCGUCGCUCUUGCUGGGACUGGGGGAUAGCUCGAGCGAGGUGUGGUCAGGGGGGUGCUCGGGUUCCUUAGAAACCGAGUCGGUGGCUCGAUGUUAGAAAGGGUUCAGUGUGGCUUUCCGGUCGUACGUACCAUGUCACGUCUGCUCGAUGGGCGUUUCCGGCGGACAGGAUGUUACCAUGAGGAGAGCAUCAGAUGUGUGUAAUAAGGCGAUGCGUGCCCACCAAAGGGUGUGACCGCCGGUGUCAGUUCAGACACAGCGAAUUCUACUACGUGUCGG